AACGCUGGCGGCGUGCCUAAACAUGCAAGUCGAACGCUCCGAUUUAUCGGAGAGUGGCGAACGGCUGAGUAACACGUAGGCAACCUGUCCCGAAGUGGGGGAUAACCCCCCGAAAGGGGAGCUAAUACCGCGUACGCUCGCUGGUCUCCGGACUGGUGAGGAAAGAUUUAUCGCUUCGGGAGGGGCCUGCGUCCGAUUAGCUUGUUGGUAGGGUAACGGCCUACCAAGGCGAUGAUCGGUAGCUGGUCUGAGAGGAUGAUCAGCCAGACUGGGACUGAGAUACGGCCCAGACUCCUACGGGAGGCAGCAGUUAGGAAUUUUGGGCAAUGGGCGAAAGCCUGACCCAGCAACGCCGCGUGGGUGAUGAAGGCCCUCGGGUCGUAAAGCCCUUUUGCACGGGAAGAAGAUCUGACGGUACCGUGCGAAUAAGCCCCGGCUAACUACGUGCCAGCAGCCGCGGUGAUACGUAGGGGGCGAGCGUUGUCCGGAUUUACUGGGCGUAAAAGGCUCGCAGGCGGCUCGUCAAGUCAGGCGUGAAAUCUCCCGGCUCAACUGGGAGGGGUCGUCUGAUACUAGCGGGCUCGAGGCCGGUAGAGGGAAGCGGAAUUCCCGGUGUAGUGGUGGAAUACGUAGAUAUCGGGAGGAACACCAGUGGCGAAGGCGGCUUCCUGGACCGGGUUCUGACGCUCAGGAGCGAAAGCGUGGGGAGCGAUCCGGAUUAGAUACCCGGGUAGUCCACGCCGUAAACGUUGGGCACUAGGUGUCGGGGGUAUCGACCCCUCCGGUGCCGCAGCUAACGCAUUAAGUGCCCUGCCUGGGGAGUACGGCCGCAAGGCUAAAACUCAAAGGAAUUGACGGGGGCCCGCACAAGCAGCGGAGCGUGUGGUUUAAUUCGAUGCAACGCGAAGAACCUUACCAGGGCUUGACAUGCUGGUGGUACUGAUCCGAAAGGUGAGGGACCCUUCGGGGAGCCAGCACAGGUGCUGCAUGGCUGUCGUCAGCUCGUGCCGUGAGGUGUUGGGUUAAGUCCCGCAACGAGCGCAACCCUCGCCGUCAGUUAAACAUCUCUGACGGGACCGCUGGGAUAAACCCAGAGGAAGGUGGGGAUGACGUCAAGUCAGCAUGGCCCUUACGUCCUGGGCUACACACACGCUACAAUGGCCGGUACAAUGGGCUGCCAAGGCGCGAGCCGGAGCUAACCCCGUAAAGCCGGCCCCAGUUCAGAUUGCAGGCUGCAACUCGCCUGCAUGAAGCUGGAAUCGCUAGUAAUCGCGGAUCAGAACGCCGCGGUGAAUACGUUCCCGGGCCU
rnacentral:rRNA from 1 species